AUACGUAGGGUGCAAGCGUUAAUCGGAAUUACUGGGCGUAAAGCGUGCGCAGGCGGUUUUGUAAGACAGAGGUGAAAUCCCCGGGCUCAACCUGGGAACUGCCUUUGUGACUGCAAGGCUAGAGUACGGCAGAGGGGGAUGGAAUUCCGCGUGUAGCAGUGAAAUGCGUAGAUAUGCGGAGGAACACCGAUGGCGAAGGCAAUCCCCUGGGCCUGCACUGACGCUCAUGCACGAAAGCGUGGGGAGCAAACAGAAUUAGAUACCCUGGUAGUCCACGCCCUAAACGAUGUCAACUGGUUGUUGGGGAUUUAUUUUCUCAGUAACGAAGCUAACGCGUGAAGUUGACCGCCUGGGGAGUACGGCCGCAAGGUUAAAACUCAAAUGAAUUGACGGGG
rnacentral:rRNA from 1 species